UGCAAAUUUUAUGAGGCCUGAACUGCCCUUCUCUCCUUAGUGCCUUCACACACAUUCAUGCAGCAGGUGAUUCCGAGCACCUUUUGGGUUUGUGGGCUGGGGAAAUGAAAAUGUAAAAGAAUGAUUUCUACCAGUCUGAGGUAAAAGGAGCUUCUCAAUUAUGAAGUGCCUUCAUAGCAGUCAUUUUUUUAGGAGACAGAGCAAAGUUUCCUCUCCCCUCACUACUGAUACACCUGCUGUUCCUCAUUUCAGCUGAUCACGUUAACAGACAUCUCACUGCUUGCAAGAAAGCAGCUAUAAUCCAGAAGAGGAGUGAGUUUUGCUUUGGCAUAACAGUAUUGAGUCCAAAGUGCAGAAUUCUGGUACACAGCUACAUGUAAAUUACUGUGAUCGCUGCAUCGCAUAUCACGCCUGGAUUCCCUACUUCCCCAGUCAUCUCUGAUCACAGAAUGGCCUGAAUUGGAAGAAUCAUGAAGCUCCAACCCCCCUGCCAUAUGCAGGGCCACCAAUCU